rfam:Streptococcus pyogenes SSI-1 DNA, complete genome.
CGUUUCCUUCCUUAACACUAUCGACUCCAUAAUGACCCAUCAGUCAAACGGUAUAUCUCAAACGACUACGGUUUACUCCAAAUUCAUUGGCUAGUUGAGGCCAAGAAACACCUGAUUUUUUUAAUGCUAAAUUUCUAGCUUAUCUUCAUAGCUUAAUUUCAUACAAAAAAACCCCA